CGGUCCAGUAGGUUUGAAGCAAAUUGUCUAAAUUUCUAAAGGUACGGAAAACAAAAAAAAAACAUAUUCUAGACGAAUUCAUAACUUCCUUCUUGUAAGUCGGUUAAAAACGCGUUUUGCAGAGCUACAAAAUCAAGUGAACAAAGUGUCUCCAGCCUCCUCUAUAGGUCAUAAGGUCUUGAUUAAGAUAAUAUUUGACCACUGCUCCACGUUUAAAUACAGCAGACGUGGUUUCACGGCAUUUAUACUUAUUUUCUACACCGUCGUGAACGGUCGUCGCAUAUUCGCUAUGUUCAAGCCUACAUUAACGCUGCUGCUAUUGGGCCUGCUAUGCGUCCACCUUGUCGCGGGUCGACCACAGGGCGACUCCAAGACCAACGACGAAUACGACCAGCAACCACCAACCGGCUCGAGAUCUAACUCAGUGGCUGACAGUAAUAACCGCAAAUGUGCAUUGCUUUUCUUCUGUAACGACGGACCUUUAAUUCAAGUCGGUAAUAAUAAUUCGGGAUAACAAGUAGGUGUUAUUUUAGCACCAUCUACCGUUCCUAUAUGAAAAUAACAAAUUGAAAACUAUAAUGACUCUCCAUAUUUUAUUUGUAAAAAUGUUUAAACCAUACCUAAUCUCUAUACAAUAAACAUUUUGAAAACUUA